rnacentral:rRNA from 1 species
UCCGUAGGCGGUCUUAUAAGUCUGAUGUGAAAGCCCACGGCUCAACCGUGGAGGGUCAUUGGAAACUGGAGAACUUGAGUACAGAAGAGGAAAGCGGAAUUCCACGUGUAGCGGUGAAAUGCGUAGAGAUGUGGAGGAACACCAGUGGCGAAGGCGGCUUUCUGGUCUGUAACUGACGCUGAGGCGCGAAAGCGUGGGGAGCAAACAGGAUUAGAUACCCGUGUA